rnacentral:rRNA from 1 species
UACGGGGGGGGCAAGCGUUGUUCGGAAUUACUGGGCGUAAAGGGCGCGUAGGCGGGUGGACAAGUCUCUCGUGAAAGCCCACGGCUCAACCGUGGAAUUGCGGGAGAUACUGUCUGCCUUGAGUCCGGGAGAGGAGGGUGGAAUUCCCAGUGUAGCGGUGAAAUGCGUAGAUAUUGGGAGGAACACCGGUGGCGAAGGCGGCUCUCUGGACCGGUACUGACGCUGAGGCGCGAAAGCUAGGGGAGCAAACGGG